AUUGAACGCUGGCGGAAUGCUUUACACAUGCAAGUCGAGCGGCAGCGCGGGGGCAACCCUGGCGGCGAGCGGCGAACGGGUGAGUAACAUAUCGGAACGUACCCCGUCGUGGGGGAUAACACAGCGAAAGCUGUGCUAAUACCGCAUACGACCUGAGGGUGAAAGCGGGGGAUCGCAAGACCUCGCGCGAUGGGAGCGGCCGAUAUCGGAUUAGCUUGUUGGUGAGGUAAAGGCUCACCAAGGCGACGAUCCGUAGCUGGUCUGAGAGGACGACCAGCCACACUGGAACUGAGACACGGUCCAGACUCCUACGGGAGGCAGCAGUGGGGAAUUUUGGACAAUGGGGGCAACCCUGAUCCAGCCAUUCCGCGUGAGUGAAGAAGGCCUCGGUUGUAAAGCUCUUUCAGCAGGAACGAAACGGUAGGCCACAGAAUAAGCACCGGCAAACUACCGUGCCAGCAGCCGCGGUAU
rnacentral:rRNA from 1 species